UGAAACAAGGAAGGUCUUAGCAUAAGAGAAGCAACAGGCGAGAGCCUAGGCGGGGCUGCUUUGUCUCACUGAGAAAGGUGGGGGAAGGGAGGGAG